rnacentral:rRNA from 1 species
UACGUAGGGUCCGAGCGUUGUCCGGAAUUACUGGGCGUAAAGAGCUUGUAGGCGGUUCGUCGCGUCGGUUGUGAAAACUUGGGGCUCAACCUUAAGCUUGCAGGCGAUGCGGGCGGACUAGAGUACUUCAGGGGAGACUGGAAUUCCUGGUGUAGCGGUGAAAUGCGCAGAUAUCAGGAGGAACGCCGAUGGCGAAGGCAGGUCUCUGGGCAUUAACUGACGCUGAGGAGCGAAAGCAUGGGGAGCGAACAGG